ACCCCCCCCCCCCCCCCCCCCCCCCCCAUGGAGUCAGUGUAACCUAUUUUAGGUGCGUCAAUUGACCAAACAUACGACCCACCUUCUGUUAGUUCCAGUAAAACAGGAAACUGUGGUUAGUAGCAGGGAAUAGUUGUGUAUUUUUCAGCAUUUUCCCUAUCCCUGAAAAGAUUAUUGUGCAAUUUCCCAACACUAGUGGACUGUUUUUAAAGCUCAUGGCAUGACUUACAAUCACUGCACUAUCAGAAUCUUAGCUACUUGGACGACUUUUAACUCCUCUUUACUACAGUGAGGCGUAGGCCUAUUGCAUUUUUUCUUUAAACUAUUUUCUCUAUAUUCAGAGCUGUAAAUAUCAUCUUUGUAAAUGAUCUUUCUUCAUGAAAUUUUAAAUAUGCAUUCUUAUUCCUAAUUAGAAGCUUAGUAUAGAGGAAUUUCUCACAAUCAUUUGAUUUUACGCUAUAAAGUGGCAUAAAAGUAUUUUUAUGGCGUUUUCCUGAUUAGACGAUGUAAAAGAACCCCACAAUUUCUUUCCGUAAGUGUAUUUAUCCUAAAAGCGUUUUCAGUAAAAUAAACUUUUCAAUUCGUACUACGUCGAAAUAUCAGAUUUCCGAAUAUGCAAAUGUAUGCAAAUCUGCCUAGCCGAACCUCAUUAACUAUUCGGAAUAAUUCAUUAGUAGGCUAUGCUGCUCCUCAGUUGUCUCGUUCAAAAAGAUUUGAUCAUAAACUUGUAGAUUUGUUUACAAAUGUAAUUUUGAAAAGACAGAAUAGGUCUUUUUAAGACAUAGCGACCGAACAGGUGAAUGGGAGCCCGCCCCCACUAUAAAAUUCCGCCUUUAGAAAGUUAAAAUGUAUGCGCCUCAUCUCCAACCAAUGACCUGACACAACGCACCUGUCAUACGAACGUUAUCCAAUAAGAACGCGUCUUUGUUUUAGCGCCCGCCCACAUUGCGACCAAUCAAUUUUGCCGCGCGCAACAGAGUUCCCGCCUCGUUUCAACGUCGUGCCGCUUUCAUACUAACCGAGUCGCCUCCGAAAUAAAACGCUCCUUGAUGUAACACACGUUAUUUAUUUAGUUUUCUUCUAAUUUUAUAUUUGUAAACAUAUAUAUAUAUAAUCCCUAAAUAACAAUCCGUUUUUUUUAAACGAAUAUUAAAAAUUAAUGCUUUUUGACGCAUCGUGUAUCUGACAGGAGUGGACAGCGACGCUGGAAGUGUUAGCUUAGCUUAAAAAAAAACACGUCUCGAGCCCUUCUUUCUCUUCAGUGGUACUGGAGAGCGUUGACACCGUCUGUGCUCCUGAGGUAAACUUGCUCUCUUUUUUCGAAGUC
ensembl:lncRNA